rnacentral:lncRNA from 1 species
GUGAGGCGAGGGGCCGGGGCUGCGGCCGGGCGGCGACGCUCGGGGCCGGCGGUUUCCCAGGCGAUGGGUGGGGAGAGGAGGAGGAGGAGGAGGAAGAGGAGGAGGAGGGGUCCUCGCGGCUUUAUCUCCCACCCGGCUCCGCCCGCCGUCGGCUGUCUCCCGUGACCGCAAGCGCACCGGCGGGCGCAGCGCGGGCAGGGCAGCGCCCAUGGGCUGCGGCAACUCCACGGCCGGCAGCGCGGGCGGGCGAGGUUGAUCCGUUUGCUCAGGGCGAGAGGGUGAUGUGGCCUGCCGCAGCACCGGCGGCUUUCUGGUGCCUGCUUGUCGCUAGAGUCACCACCUCCGACAGAAGCUGCCCAAGGCACGGCGAACCCAGGCCGGGAGCUGGACGUAACAAUCCCGCCAGGGGUGUCAGCUCCAUCCUCUUCGCUUCCCUAUAAGGCCACGAAUGCCACUUCUGAAAUGAAUUUGUGCGACAUCUUCGUCUUUUGCUUGUUGGAGAAGUUGGAGGAUAUUCCAUGAUUGAGGUUUCAUGCAUGUUAAUAUGUACUGCUGGCUGGUGAGUCCAGCUGGCUCCCUUAUUUGUUCAUUGCUAUUUUCAAAAGAGAUAAGAUUUGGGAAGAUGGUGCUGUUGUGCUCUUCCUCCCCCCUGCCCCCACAGAAUAGGAAAGUACAUGGAAACUGGUAAGUGGACCUUCACCCUGUAAUUAUAAUAUGGGCAUUUCCCAAUCGUUUUUCAUCCUAGCUGCACUUGGCAAACAUUGCCACCUGUUCCAGUACCUUUAUCAAGUCUUUC